rnacentral:rRNA from 1 species
UGCGUAGGCGGAUUAAUAAGUCAGUGGUGAAAGCCUCUCGCUCAACGGGAGAACUGCCAUUGAUACUGUUAAUCUUGAGUAUGGUUGAGGUGGGCGGAAUGUGUCAUGUAGCGGUGAAAUGCUUAGAUAUGACACAGAACACCAAUUGCGAAGGCAGCUCGCUAAGCCAUAACUGACGCUGAGGCACGAAAGCGUGGGGAGCAAACAGGAUUAAUACCCCUGGUAGUCC